rnacentral:pre_miRNA from 1 species
ACGGAAGGAUGUACUUCCUCCAAUCCGUAUUACUUAUCUUAGAUUUGUCUAGAUACAUACAUUUAUACAAAUUUAAGACGAAUAAUAUGGAUCGGAGGGAGUACCUGAUAAUAA